GUGAACGAGCGACGCCGCGUGGAGGAUGAAGGCCUUCGGGUUGUAAACUCCUUUCACCUGGCAAGAAAGCCAGAAACCCAACACGUUUUUGGUUGACGCAACCAGGAGAAGAAGCCACGGCUAACUCUGUGCCAGCAGCCGCGGUAAUACAGAGGUGGCAAGCGUUGUUCGGAAUCACUGGGCAUAAAGGGCGCGUAGGCGGCGACGCAAGUCAGGUGUGAAAGCCCUCAGCUUAACUGAGGAAUUGCGCCUGAAACUAUGUUGCUUGAGUGUAGGAGGGGAGAGUGGAACUCCUAGUGGAGCGGUGAAAUGCGUAGAGAUUAGGAGGAACGCCGGUGGCGAAAGCGACUCUCUGGCCUACUACUGACGCUGAGGCGCGAAAGCUAGGGGAGCAAACGGGAUUAGAUACCCCGGUAGUCCUAGCCGUAAACGAU
rnacentral:rRNA from 1 species